rnacentral:rRNA from 1 species
GCUAAACGCGAAGAACCUUACCUGGCCUUGACAUGUCCGGAAUUCUGCAGAGAUGCGGAAGUGCCUUCGGGAAUCGGAACACAGGUGCUGCAUGGCUGUCGUCAGCUCGUGUCGUGAGAUGUUGGGUUAAGUCCCGCAACGAGCGCAACCCUUGUCCUUAGUUGCCAGCGAGUAAUGUCGGGAACUCUAAGGAGACUGCCGGUGACAAACCGGAGGAAGGUGGGGAUGACGUCAAGUCCUCAUGGCCCUUACGGCCAGGGCUACACACGUACUACAAUGGUCGGUACAGAGGGUUGCCAAACCGCAAGGUGGAGCCAAUCCCAGAAAGCCGAUCCCAGUCCGGAUCGGAGUCUGCAACUCGACUCCGUGAAGUCGGAAUCGCUAGUAAUCGCGGAUCAGCUAUGCCGCGGUGAAUACGUUCCCGGUCUUGUACACACCG